rnacentral:rRNA from 1 species
UACGGAGGGGGCGAGCGUUAUUCGGAAUUAUUGGGCGUAAAGGGCGCGUAGGCGGCUUGAUGUGUCAAAGGUGAAAUCCCUCGGCUCAACUGAGGAACUGCCUUUGAAACUGCAAGUCUCGAGUCCGAUAGAGGUGGGUGGAAUUCCUAGUGUAGAGGUGAAAUUCGUAGAUAUUAGGAAGAACACCGGUGGCGAAGGCGGCCCACUGGAUCGGUACUGACGCUGAGGUGCGAAAGCGUGGGGAGCAAACAGG